UACGGGGGGGGGCAAGCGUUUGUUCGGAAUUACUGGGCGUAAAGGGCGCGUAGGCGGUUCGCUAAGUUGGAUGUGAAAACUCUGGGCUUAACCCAGAGCCUGCAUCCAAAACUGGCGAACUGGAGUACUGGAGGGGAAAGCGGAAUUCCUGGUGUAGCGGUGAAAUGCGUAGAUAUCAGGAGGAACACCGGUGGCGAAGGCGGCUUUCUGGACAGUAACUGACGCUGAGGCGCGAAAGCUAGGGGAGCAAACAGG
rnacentral:rRNA from 1 species